rnacentral:snRNA from 1 species
AGUUUUUUGCAGUGGCAGUAUUGCAGCCAAUGAGGUUUAUCUGAGGGGUGAUUAUUGCUCUUUGAAAAUUGAAAAAAAAAAAAAAAAAGACAUGACAUUUGCAUACAUUCUUUUUUUUUUUUUUUUUUGAGAUGGAGUCUUGCUCUGUUGCCCAGACUGGAGUGCAGUGAUGCGAUCUCGGCUCACUGCAAGCUCCGCCUCCCGGGUUCACGCCAUUCUCC